UGCCGGCCACUCGUCCUUCGUAUGCUCAUCCAUCUUGGCUGCUCUGCUUGCCUGCUUCUCCACUCUAACUCAGGUUCUGCGAUCUCUUGUGUUGCUGCAUCCUGAUCUUCUGCUUUGUUGCAUCUCUGUUCUGCCAUCGAGAGGACGUGUCUGUACUUGCUGGGGUAGAAUUCAAAUUGUGAGGGAUGGUUGUGCUUAGAUUUGGUCGCUGCUGGUUGGUUCUUGAGUUCAGCGCAUGAAAACCUGCAACU